GACGAACGCUGGCGGCGUGCUUAACACAUGCAAGUCGAACGGUGAACCUUGCUUCGGUGGGGGAUCAGUGGCGAACGGGUGAUUAACACGUGGGCAACCUGCCCUCAGCUCUGGGAUAACUCCAAGAAAUUGGGGCUAAUACUAGAUAUGACCGCUGACCGCAUGGUCUGGUGGUGGAAAGAUUUUAUCGGCUGGGGAUGGGCCCGCGGCCUAUCAGCUUGUUGGGGGGUAGUGGCCUACCAAGGCGACGACUGGUAGCCGGCCUGAGAGGGUGACCGGCCACACUGGGACUGAGACACGGCCCAGACUCCUACGGGAGGCAGCAGUGGGGAAUAUUGCGCAAUGGGCGAAAGCCUGACGCAGCGACGCCGCGUGGGGA
rnacentral:rRNA from 1 species